rnacentral:rRNA from 1 species
UACGUAGGGACCGAGCGUUGUCCGGAAUCAUUGGGCGUAAAGAGCGUGUAGGCGGCCACUUAAGUCCUGCGUGAAAUCUUGCGGCCCAACCGCAAGCGGUCGUGGGAAACUGGGUGGCUAGAGUGCGGGAGAGGAGAGUGGAAUUCCUGGUGUAGCGGUGGAAUGCGCAGAUAUCAGGAAGAACACCCGUGGCGAAGGCGGCUCUCUGGAACGCAACUGACGCUGAGACGCGAAAGCGUGGGGAGCAAACAGG